rnacentral:rRNA from 1 species
AGUAUCCGUUUGUUAUUAAAUAUGGGCCUCGUGCUCAUCCUGGCAACAGGAACGACCAUAAAGAAGCCGUCGAGAGAUAUCGGAAGAGUUUUCUUUUCUGUUUUAUAGCCGUACUACCAUGGAAGUCUUUCGCAGAGAGAUAUGGUAGAUGGGCUAGAAGAGCAUGACAUAUACUGUUGUGUCGAUAUUUUCUCCUCGGACCUUGAAAAUUUAUGGUGGGGACACGCAAACUUCUCAACAGGCCGUACCAAUAUCCGCAGCUGGUCUCCAAGGUGAAGAGUCUCUAGUCGAUAGAAUAAUGUAGGUAAGGGAAGUCGGCAAAUUAGAUCCGUAACUUCGGGAUAAGGAUUGGCUCUGAAGAUUGAGAUAGUCGGGCUUGAUUGGGAAACAAUAACAUGGUUUAUGUGCUCGUUCUGGGUAAAUAGAGUUUCUAGCAUUUAUGUUAGUUACUUGUUCCCCGGAUAGUUUAGUUACGUAGCCAAUUGUGGAACUUUCUUGCUAAAAUUUUUAAGAAUACUAUUUGGGUUAAACCAAUUAGUUCUUAUCAAUUAUAACGAUUAUCAAUUAACAAUCAAUUCAGAACUGGCACGGACUUGGGGAAUCCGACUGUCUAAUUAAAACAAAGCAUUGUGAUGGCCCUAGCGGGUGUUGACACAAUGUGAUUUCUGCCCAGUGCUCUGAAUGUCAAAGUGAAGAAAUUCAAGUAAGCGCGGGUCAACGGCGGGAGUAACUAUGACUCUCUUAAGGUAGCCAAAUGCCUCGUCAUCUAAUUAGUGACGCGCAUGAAUGGAUUAACGAGAUUCCUACUGUCCCUAUCUACUAUCUAGCGAAACCACAGCCAAGGGAACGGGCUUGGAAUAAUUAGCGGGGAAAGAAGACCCUUUUGAGCUUGACUCUAAUCUGGCAGUGUAAGGAGACAUAAGAGGUGUAGAAUAAGUGGGGAGAUAUUAGACCUCGGUUUGGUAUCGUCAAUGAAAUACCACUACUCUAUUGUUUCCUUACUUACUUGAUUAAAUGGAACGUGUAUCAUUUCCUAGCCAUUAUACGGAUAUAUUUAUUAUAUCUUAUGGUAUUGGGUUUUGAUGCAAGCUUCUUGAUCAAAGUAUCACGAGUUUGUUAUAUAAUCGCAAACAAAUUCUUUAAUAAAACGAUGCAUUUAUGUAUUUUUGAUUUGAAAAUUUGGUAUAACUCCAAUUACUCAGGUAUGAUCCAAUUCAAGGACAUUGCCAGGUAGGGAGUUUGACUGGGGCGGUACAUCUCUCAAAUAAUAACGGAGGUGUCCCAAGGCCAGCUCAGUGCGGACAGAAACCACACAUAGAGCAAAAGGGCAAAUGCUGACUUGAUCUCGGUGUUCAGUACACACAGGGACAGCAAAAGCUCGGCCUAUCGAUCCUUUUGGUUUAAAGAGUUUUUAACAAGAGGUGUCAGAAAAGUUACCAUAGGGAUAACUGGCUUGUGGCGGCCAAGCGUUCAUAGCGACGUCGCUUUUUGAUCCUUCGAUGUCGGCUCUUCCUAUCAUUGUGAAGCAAAAUUCACCAAGCGUUGGAUUGUUCACCCAUGCAAGGGAACGUGAGCUGGGUUUAGACCGUCGUGAGACAGGUUAGUUUUACCCUACUAAUGACAAAACGUUGUUGCGACCGCAUACCUGCGUAGUACGAGAGGAACCGCAGGUACGGACCAAUGACGGAAUACUUGUUCGAGCGAACAGUGGUAUGACGCUACGUCCGU